rnacentral:rRNA from 1 species
AUUGAACGCUGGCGGCAUGCCUUACACAUGCAAGUCGAACGGUAACAGGUCUUCGGAUGCUGACGAGUGGCGAACGGGUGAGUAAUACAUCGGAACGUGCCCGAUCGUGGGGGAUAACGAGGCGAAAGCUUUGCUAAUACCGCAUACGAUCUACGGAUGAAAGCGGGGGAUCUUCGGACCUCGCGCGGCCGGAGCGGCCGAUGGCAGAUUAGGUAGUUGGUGGGAUAAAAGCUUACCAAGCCGACGAUCUGUAGCUGGUCUGAGAGGAUGAUCAGCCACACUGGGACUGAGACACGGCCCAGACUCCUACGGGAGGCAGCAGUGGGGAAUUUUGGACAAUGGGCGAAAGCCUGAUCCAGCCAUGCCGCGUGCAGGAUGAAGGCCUUCGGGUUGUAAACUGCUUUUGUACGGAACGAAAAGCCUCUUUCUAAUAAAGAGGGGUCAUGACGGUACCGUAAGAAUAAGCACCGGCUAACUACG